UUUUCUUAAGAAAGGAGAGGAUGAAUAUAAAACGGAAUGUUUAUUUUAAAUUACCUUGCAAGCUAUAUAUCCAAGGGAAUGCGGAACCCAACCUAGAGCAAUAAUAAAAGAAAAAAAAAUGAGAAAAUAAAAGCAUGCAGUAUUGCGGCGAACAUAUUCUGUAACUUAUAGAGUUAUUAUGCUGAUGAUUCACUUGUAAAUCACAACUUGAUAACAAAGGCAAUGAUAUUUCAGUUGCUUGUGACAAUUAAGGGACUGAAAGAACAAAUGUUCUACAAAUAUUAUAGAACAAUUAAUAAAAUGGAGAAACUACCAACCUCAUCAAUAAAAGGUAAUGAAGCAAAGCAUGCAAAGAGUUACCAUAGCAAUACAUUAAAAAAGCAUAUAAGAGAGGAAGAAAUAUCAUAUAAGGCUAAAAAUGAAUGAAAUGAAACAACCACAAAUCUUUACAAGCAAAUCUUGAUUUGUUUGCUAUAACAUAAUUUGGAAAAUAUAUUUCAGCAACGAGAAACAUUUUGGAAACAAAAAAAAAAAAGAAAAGAACCCUGAAAGCAAGCAAGCACCCAUUCUAAACUUUUGGCCCCAUUCUUUUUAGUUUACUGAACAUAAAAAUUAAGCAUUAAAUGUUAAAAAACACAUGAAGAAAAAUUGCUUUAAAUUAAAAGCAAGGCUGGGACCUUUUUUUCGGGACGUAAUGAAAAAAGCUCCAGUUAAUAUUAAUUAAUAUAUAUAGGAGAAGAAGAAAAUCUAAAAGAUAUAAGCCAUCUAACUGAUUUUUAAGAAACAGAAUAAAAGAUUAAUAGUCAAAAUGAAUAAAUAGUGCUUUGCAAUUUUAUAUACAGCUAAAUAGUUAAAUUAAUAUGUACAAUUUCUCAACUUUUUUAAAAAAAUUAUUAGACGGAACUGAUGACAGAUUUUAUAAUGAAAACCAGGCAAAAUAAUGCUCAGACAUACUGGCAUAAUUAAAUAAUGAUAAAUCUUAAAAUAAAAAGGCCAAAAACCACACACCAAGGAAGGCAUCAAGGUGCCCAGAUAAAUAAUCUAACCAUAUAUCAAAGAAACCACUUAAUAGGAAAAUAUGAAAUCAUAUAAUGUUUGGAAAAUACAUAAAUAUAAAUAAACAAAGGUUUAAAGAAGCCAGCACCUUUGUUUCAGUGCCCGAAUUCUAAAAAUAUAAGCUGCCAAAGAGGCAUUGUAAAAAAAUAAAGUUUUAAAAGCAAACAAAAUUCAUCUCUUAACAGUUAAUUUUACUUCUUUUUAUCAGGGAAUCUAAAAAUCAAAUAGAAAAUGGUCAAGAGAUAAAGGAUUAAAAAAAUAUCUCUAAAUUUAAGUAACUCCAAAGGUUCAAAAGCAAAUUACGUCCUUACUUUGGCAGCCUAAUAAAAAAAUCCAUCCAACAAUAGCAGAUCGCAAAAUUAACUGCAAACAAGAUGCUCAUAUUUAAAAAAAAUACAAAUACUUGAACAAAUUUAAAUAGAUUAAUAAUCAAAUAUAAAUCUUUUUCAUGUGAUUUGAUCUUCAAUAACUAAAAUUAAAGGAAUCCUCAAGAGCAAACACCAAAGCUGCGGAAAAGAUUUAAAGAAAAAAAAUGAAUGGAAAAUAUACCAACCUCAAAUAAUAGACACCGCUGGAAAAAAGAGAAAUAUAUUUAAACAAGUACAAAUGUUUAUGAGAGCUUAAAUGUUCAGAUAUAUCAGUCAUAAUCAUCGAUAGGAUAGAAAGUUUUACAUGCAAUAAAUAUCUCUCCAAUGAAUUCCACAAACCAACCAGGCAGCCUAGAGAUUAUAACCUUUUUCUUAAAAAACAAGAAGACAAAUCCAUCAACCAAACAAACACAAAUGAGAGAGCAAAAAGUAUGCAGAUAUUACCAUGCAAAAAGCCAGUAGAAAUAACAAUGAAUUCUAGAAUUAGAUCUUCAAUAACUGAAAUAAAAGGAGUUCAUGUAAUGCUUUCUACGACUGUAAUAAGGGGUAACCAGGAGAAGAAAAAGCCAAAAAAGUUAGCUGUAAGAAGCACAAAUGUUUAAAAUUUAAAUCUGCAAUAAUUUUGGUGUAAGAAAAUACCAUGAAAACCUACUACCGGAAAUAAAGUCCAUCUACAAUAAGAGAUGUGUUUUACAGAGAGAAGAACAAUAAGAUAUUGGGUUUGUCAGAGCGAAAAAUGAUAAACUGAUACGUGUUGUGAGGGGGAAGAAGCAUUGUAAACAAAAACAGUAGGAAGAGUGUGAGAAGAAGAGACUAGGGAUGGCAACGGGUAGGAUACCCGCACAUUUACCAAUAUCUGACACCGAACCUUAUUAAAUAAUAUAUAUAUCUGAACCCAUCCCAAACCCGUUUAAGAAAUUGUUCUUGUUACCCGAGCCUGUCCCAAAUUCGAAUAGGAAUAUCCACGCAUACUAUCUGAAUCCGAUUAAAACCCGUUUAAAUUAAAUUAUUAUUAAAUAAAUUUUAUAAAUAUUUAAAUGGUAACGGGUACCCUAUCCAUUAAAAAUCCAUUUAUAUGAAUAUUCAGGUAAUUAAAUGGGUACCGUUUAUAAUAAUUCAAUUCUAAAAUAUAUUAACAAAAAAUAAUGAAAAUAAAAGAACUACAAAAUAUAAACUAAUUAAAUCUAAGUAUCUAACAUUAAAUGUUUAAUAUAUUAAUACAACCAAACUUAAAUUAAUGUUCUAGAUAAUAAAAAGCCAAUUAAGAUACAAUAUCUAUUACAAUUUGUACAUCUUCCAACUCCAUAUUUAAGAGUUUUUAUCUACCAUCUUUGAGAAGAAAAAGAAAAUACAAUUAGCCUAUUCAUUACUUCAGAAAGCUUGAAAAUAUGUACAACUAUCUACACAUUCAAAAAUAUUAUGGUAUUUGACAUGUUACAACCUUAAAAAAAAUUACAAUCAACAAAUUAUAGUUAAGGAGAAAUUACUUAUAGAAAAAUAAAGCAGAAAAUAGCAUACUAUCCAGCCAAGUUGUACUCUGUUUCUCAUUACAACACCCAAAGAUUGAAAUAAACCUUCCUACGAAAUGUCAUUUCAAUGAGUCAUUUUGUGAAUCUAUCCAAAACCAAGACAGCAUGGCCCUAAGCUCAAACCACGAUUGAUCCCAUGCAGUUCAUUGAGUCACUAAGCAAGUGGCAGAAAGAGCAAUUUUUGACAUCAUAAAACUUAGAAAGGAUAAGUAUAUUCCCCAAGAAGAAUACAGUUGGGGGGAAUUCUGAAACACUCAGACUAAAAGAGGUAAAUUCAAAAGUUACAUUUGUGUGAAGAUAAUACAAAAAAGACUUAAAACCAUUUAAGAAAACUUCCUAAAAGGAGAUGAUGCUGAGGACUAUAGAUUUUCCGAAAUUAAGAAAACAAUAAUGCAAAUAGUACCCUUUAUGGUGCGUAGAGCAGCGGCUGAGAAACGGCAGCAGCAACAAUGAUGUCAAAAAGGGUGGAGCGACUGCAGCUAGGGCGACGACGGCUGCAGCAAGGGCGACGGCAAUGGCAGCGGCGGCGACGGCAAUGGCAGCGGCGGCGACGGCAAUGGCAGCGGCGGCGACUGCAGUAACGGCGGCGGCAACAGCAGCGAGGGGGAAACAACAACGUUGGCGAUGAGAUGAGAAUAGACGGCGACGGCAGCAAGGUUGGCGAUGGGAUGAGGGUUUGUAAGGGUGGUGGAGGCUUGAGUUGAGAGGGUUUAUGCGAGUUUGAGGGUUUAUGUGAGUUUGAAAUGAUAUGAGAAUUAGGGUUUACUUUUACGAUAUGUUUAUUUAGUUUGGUUAUAUGAAAAUUUC
rnacentral:lncRNA from 1 species